GUGUGAUCUCGUGCUUAUCCGGCCAGAUGGGGCCGGAGAAACUUGGG
rnacentral:sRNA from 1 species